AGAUAAGUAUCUGACUCGGGUUCGAUUGAUAUCAAGAUAAAAAUCUAAAACCCCCAAAAAUGAAAACCCAUAUUUUCAAUCUUUUAAAUUUCUUCCGUAUUGAUUUCCCAUCGCUGUCAGAUGGCGCCUUUUGAUACCCAAAUUGUACAUCUAUACCUCUUGUACAUCUAUACCCCACAUAUUUACCAAAACACACGUAUACCCCUUGAGCACUCGUGGGGGUAAAUAUAAGCCAGUAUCAAAGAACUACUACUACUGGUCGGUAACCAUUUUACGAGGGCGAAUCAACAUCAAUACCCCGCGCACGCGUCCUUAAUUACUUCGAAUUCCCAUCCAAGGGUUCGUUCCUUUGGUUAUGGAUCAGUUGGGCUUCGGCCCUUGCGCGAGCCUUCGGGCUCCCAAAAUUUCCCUUCAAGUUUCUAAAUAAAUAAAUAAAUAAAUAAAUAAAUAAAAACCGUGAUUCUUCUUAUUCGUGAGUGAUCUUUUCAAAAUAAAUUACGGAUUAACGCAAAGUUUGGAAUGGUCUGUGAUAAGGACAGAACAGGUCAAGAAUGAAGAAAAGAAAUUAUUUAUUAAUAAUUAAAAAAAUGAAGACGGAAUUUUGGAAAGAGAGUAAUAAAAAAUUGGUUAUUGUUAGAAAAAUGCCGUUUUAAAAUAGUCGGCAUUGAAUCAACAUAUCCCUUAGAAUAAAUUAGCCAAUAUUUAACCUACCUAAGUUUGCUUAUACUGUAAGUACAUACAUAUACAUAUAAUAUAUAUAAAUAUAUGGUAAAAAAAAAUUUAUAAAAAAUUGCUCUUACCUUUAAAGUAAGAUUUUUUAGAAUACACACGGCAUAAAACUAUAAAUUAUUAUUUUUAAAUUAAUAUUAUUAUUAUUAUUAUUAUUUUUACACGGCCGCUAAGGCAAGUGUGGCGGGUGUAUUAUGCAAUAAAAUAAUUUGUAAUUGUAAAACAUGUUAUUUAACAUGUUAAAUAACUGUUAUUUAAAUUUAAUUAAUUUUUAAAUUAUUAUUUUGUUUUAUUAAAAUUAUGUAUUAUAAUGAUAAAAAAACAAAAUCUACGUCUUCCAAAAAAUAUAUGUAAUUACUAUUGAUAAACUAUACCUGUUAAUAUUUAUAAGUAUUUAAGUGAGCUAUUGUAAACUGCAUUGGGGACUUGAGAAUCGCAAAUACCAUCAACAUAUUUAAAUUAACAAUAAAUAAUAAGAUAAUAUAUUAUAUUAUAUUAUGAUAUAUACUACAGCAUUGUAUUAUGAAUAUGAAUAGAGAAAAAUAGUAUUGUUACAGUUAUUAUUUAAAGCUAUUGAAGCCGAGCAAAUAAUAAAAACUGAAGAAAAAUUUCACGCAGUGUGGCUUUACAAAUAAGAUACGUUCAACAGGAACGGGCAAACUAGGUGAAACCUUUACAAAGUUAAUUGGUUCAUGUUGUUACGCCGUUCGCAAACGUUGUGACGCGACAAUAAAUAAGUAGGUUAGUUGGAAAGAUUGAUAGCGGAGUUUUAUUGAUAUCACAUGUAUCAGAUAUUCAGAUAUUCAGAUAUGGUUAUUAAUUAUUGGUAAAUAAUGUUGGACUUACUUGCGUUAUUAUAAUUAUUAUUAGUGUUUUAAAUGUACUUGUAGUUAUUGUUCAUUCGAUGUAAUCAUAUUGGGUUGAAAAAUGUAUUUAAACAAUAAUAAUGGUUUAAAAGUC